GUGAAGAACGUAGCGAAACGCGAUAUGUAAUGUGAAUUGCAGAAUUCAGUGAAUCAUCGAAUCUUUGAACGCACAUGGCGCCUUCCAGUAUCCUGGGAGGCAUGCCUGUCCGAGCGUCGUUUCAACCCUCGAGCCCCCGUGGCCCGGCGUUGGGGAUCUGCCACGGCAGGCCCCUAAAACCAGUGGCGGACCCGAAGGCCCUCUCCUUUGCGCAGUAGCAUCAGCCUCGCAUUGGGAUCCCUCGGCGUCCUGCCUCUAAACCCCCCACAAGUCCGCUCCGGCGGCACCAAGGUUGACCUCGGAUCAGGUAGGAAUACCCGCUGAACUUAAGCAUAUCAAUAAGCGGAGGA
rnacentral:misc_RNA from 1 species